rnacentral:rRNA from 1 species
GACGAACGCUGGCGGCGUGCCUAACACAUGCAAGUCGAACGGAACUGUUUUGAAAGCUUUCUUCGGAAUGAAUUUGAUUUAGUUUAGUGGCGGACGGGUGAGUAACGCGUGAGUAACCUGCCUUCAAGAGGGGAAUAACAUUCUGAAAAGAAUGCUAAUACCGCAUGACAUAUCGGAACCACAUGGUUUUGAUAUCAAAGAUUUUAUCGCUUGAAGAUGGACUCGCGUCCGAUUAGUUAGUUGGUGAGGUAACGGCUCACCAAGACCGCGAUCGGUAGCCGGACUGAGAGGUUGAACGGCCACAUUGGGACUGAGACACGGCCCAGACUCCUACGGGAGGCAGCAGUGGGGGAUAUUGCGCAAUGGGAGCAACCCUGACGCAGCAACGCCGCGUGAAGGAUGAAGGUUUUCGGAUUGUAAACUUCUUUUAUUAAGGACGAAAAAUGACGGUACUUAAUGAAUAAGCUCCGGCUAACUACGUG